rnacentral:rRNA from 1 species
AUGUCGGGCGGUGGCGGCGUGGUGUGUCCGCCGCCGGAGCUGAGUUUCGGCGGGCAGUACUACUCGGUGGUGGACGGGGUCUGCAGCCGCGACGAGAGCUUCUUCGGCGGGAAGCCGGUGCUGACGCAGGCCGUCGGGUACGCCGUCGUCCUCGGCUUCGGCGCUUUCUUCGCGCUCUUCACUUCCUUCCUGGUGUGGUUGGAGAAACGUUACGUGGGCGGGUCGCAGCUGCAGACGUCGGAGUGGUUCAACACCGCCGGCCGGAGCGUGAAGACGGGGCUGAUCGCCAGCGUGAUCGUGUCGCAGUGGACAUGGGCGGCGACCAUCCUGCAGAGCUCCAACGUGGCGUGGCAGUACGGCGUGAGCGGGCCCUUCUGGUACGCCAGCGGCGCCACCGUGCAGGUGCUCCUCUUCGGGGUCAUGGCCAUCGAGAUCAAGCGGAAGGCGCCCAACGCGCACACCGUCUGCGAGAUCGUCAGGGCCAGGUGGGGCGCCCGCGCGCACCUCGUCUUCCUCGCCUUCUGCCUCGCCACCAACGUCAUCGUCACCGCCAUGCUGCUGCUCGGCGGCUCCGCCGUCGUGCACGCGCUCACGGGCGUCAACGUCUACGCCGCCAGCUUCCUCAUCCCGCUCGGCGUCAUCGUGUACACGCUCGCCGGCGGGCUCAAGGCCACUUUCCUCGCCAGCUACAUCCACUCCGUCGUCGUGCACGCCGUGCUCCUCGUCUUCGUCUUCCUCGUCUACACCUCCAGCAGCAGCCUCGGCAGCCCCAAGGUGGUGUACGAGCGCCUCCUGGUCGUCGCCAGCGCCGCCAGGGACUGCUCCGGCGACCUCUCGCGCUCUGGUCAGUCUUGCGGCCCCGUCCACGGCAACCUCAAGGGUUCCUACCUCACCAUGCUCAGCUCCGGCGGCCUCGUCUUCGGCAUCAUCAACAUCGUCGGCAAUUUCGGCACCGUCUUCGUCGACAACGGGUACUGGAUGAGCGCGAUCGCUGCUAGGCCGUCGUCGACGCACAAGGGGUACCUGCUGGGCGGCCUGGUGUGGUUCGCAGUGCCAUUCUCGCUGGCAACAUCGCUCGGCCUCGGCGCGCUCGCCCUCGACCUCCCUAUCACCGCGGCGGAGGCGGCAAAGGGCCUCGUCCCGCCGGCCACCGCGACCGCGCUCAUGGGCAAGCCUGGCUCCGUCCUCCUGCUCACGAUGCUCUUCAUGGCCGUCACCUCCGCUGGCUCCGCAGAGCUCGUCGCCGUCUCCUCCCUCUUCACCUACGACAUCUACCGCACCUACGUCAACCCGGGCGCUUCCGGUAAGCAGAUCCUCCUCGUGUCCAGGGCCGUCAUCCUCGCCUUCGGAUGCUGCAUGGGCGUCCUGGCCGUCGUCCUCAACCUCGUGGGCGUGUCCCUCGGGUGGAUGUACCUGGCCAUGGGCGUCCUCGUGGGCUCCGCCGUCAUCCCCAUCGCUCUGCUGCUGCUCUGGAGCAAGGCCAACGCCUUCGGCGCCAUGCUCGGCACCAUCAGCGGCUGCGUCCUCGGCGUGAUCGUCUGGCUCACGGUGGCCAAGGUGCAGUACGGCCGCGUCAACCUGGACACCACCGGCCGGAACGCGCCCAUGCUGGCGGGCAACCUGGUGUCCAUACUGGUGGGCGGGGCCGUGCACUGCGUGUGCAGCCUGGUGUCGCCGCAGAACUACGACUGGGAGAGCUGCAGGCGGAUCACCACGGUGGAGAGCGUGACCGCCGAAGACGACGACGAGCUCCAGGAGGCGAAGCUGGUGCACGCCAAGCGGUGGAUCGUCAAGUGGGGCCUGGUGUUCACUGUCGUGAUCGUGGUGCUGUGGCCGGCGCUGUCGGUGCCGGCGGGGAGGUUCAGCCUGGGGUACUUCACGCUGUGGGCGGCGAUCGCGAUCGCGUGGGGGACGGUGGGCUCGGCGGUGAUCAUCCUGAUGCCGUUGGUGGAGAGCUGGGACACCAUCAGCAUGGUGUGCGCGGGGAUGUUAACCAACGACAUCGUGUACCAGCGCCUCGACGACGUGAACCUGCGGCUGAGGGCCAUCAUGGGGGCCAUGCCCGAGGCCGAAAAGCGAUACCAGCAGCUGCAGCGAAAGGAUGAGGUGGAGAUGCACCCCGCCGGCACCCACCCGGCAGAUGACAGCGACCAUCUUUUGGAGAACUUAAAUGGUCGAUGUAUGUAG